rnacentral:lncRNA from 1 species
AGUGGACUAUAAACGGUUAAUUAAAAUACAUCUCCAACAACAUCAAAAAAAUUAAAAACUAAACAUUCUAAUACUUGAUUCCUAAGGGUAAUUAAACAUGAUGGACCAUAUCAGUCUAUUAUUCUAGUUGUUCUUAUCUGUGAAUGGCAUCAUCAUCUUUGCCUGCACGUCACUGGCAAACCCUACAUGAAACUGUUGUUGUACUUACGAGUUCAUCCUGUCAAUGGACCACUCUUGCAGUUGUUGUAGCUCCUACACAAGAGAAUCCUCCUUGAUUUGAGCAGAUGUCUCCUAAGGACCCUUCAUGACUCCCCCGUUAGGUGGUCUCUUGAGGCUAAAGUGACUUGCUAAGUGUUUCUGUCCUCUUCU